UGGGGAAUAUUGCACAAUGGGCGAAAGCCUGAUGCAGCCAUACCGCGUGGGUGAAGAAGGCCUUAGGGUUGUAAAGCCCUUUCAGUUGGGAAGAAAAGGCUGGGGUUAAUAUCCCCGGUUCUUGACGGUACCUACAGAAGAAGCACCGGCUAACUCAGUGCCAGCAGCCGCGGUAAUACUGAGGGUGCAAGCGUUAAUCGGAAUUACUGGGCGUAAAGCGCGCGUAGGCGGUCUGGUCAGUCAGGUGUGAAAGCCCCGGGCUUAACCUGGGAACUGCAUUUGAAACUGCCAGACUAGAGUGUGGUAGAGGGAAGUGGAAUUCCGCGUGGAGCGGUGAAAUGCGUAGAGAUGCGGAGGAACACCAGUGGCGAAGGCGACUUCCUGGACCAACACUGACGCUCAGGUGCGAAAGCGUGGGGAGCAAACAGG
rnacentral:rRNA from 1 species